UACGGGGGGGGCAAGCGUUGUUCGGAAUUACUGGGCGUAAAGGGCUCGUAGGCGGCCAACUAAGUCAGACGUGAAAUCCCUCGGCUUAACCGGGGAACUGCGUCUGAUACUGGAUGGCUUGAGUUUGGGAGAGGGACGCGGAAUUCCAGGUGUAGCGGUGAAAUGCGUAGAUAUCUGGAGGAACACCGGUGGCGAAGGCGGCGUCCUGGACCGACAUUGACGCUGAGGAGCGAAAGCUAGGGGAGCAAACGGA
rnacentral:rRNA from 1 species